rnacentral:tRNA from 1 species
GGAAUUGCUCAGUGGUAGAGCAUCUGCUUUACAUACAGAAGAUUCCAGGUUCACUCCCUAGUGUCUCCA